rnacentral:rRNA from 1 species
UACGGAGGGUGCGAGCGUUAAUCGGAAUAACUGGGCGUAAAGCGCACGCAGGCGGUCAAUUAAGUCAGAUGUGAAAGCCCCGAGCUUAACUUGGGAAUUGCAUCUGAUACUGGCAAGCUUGAGUCUCGUAGAGGGGGGUAGAAUUCCAGGUGUAGCGGUGAAAUGCGUAGAGAUGUGGAGGAAUACCGAAGGCGAAGGCAGCCCCUUGGGAAUGUACUGACGCUCAUGUGCGAAAGCGUGGGGAGCAAACAGG